UACGUAGGGUGCAAGCGUUGUCCGGAAUUAUUGGGCGUAAAGCGCACGUAGGCGGUUCGUUAAGUCGGAUGUGAAAGCCCUCGGCUCAACUGAGGAAGUGCACCCGAAACUGGCGAGCUUGAGUACGAAAGAGGAUCGCGGAAUUCCCGGUGUAGAGGUGAAAUUCGUAGAUAGUCGGGAGGAACACCGGUGGCGAAGGCGGCGAUCUGGGUCGAUACUGACGCUGAGGUGCGAAAGCGUGGGGGAGCAAACAGG
rnacentral:rRNA from 1 species